UACGUAGGGUGCAAGCGUUAAUCGGAAUUACUGGGCGUAAAGCGUGCGCAGGCGGUUUUGUAAGUCAGAUGUGAAAUCCCCGGGCUUAACCUGGGAACUGCGUUUGAAACUACAAGGCUAGAGUGUGGCAGAGGGGGGUGGAAUUCCACGUGUAGCAGUGAAAUGCGUAGAGAUGUGGAGGAACACCGAUGGCGAAGGCAGCCCCCUGGGUUAACACUGACGCCCAGGCACGAAAGCGUGGGGAGCAAACAGG
rnacentral:rRNA from 1 species